rnacentral:rRNA from 1 species
UGGGGAAUUUUGGACAAUGGGUGAAAGCCUGAUCCAGCCAUGUCGCGUGAGUGAAGAAGGCCUUCGGGUUGUAAAGCUCUUUUAGUCGGAAAGAAAGAGUUGCAAUGAAUAAUUGUGAUUUAUGACGGUACCGACAGAAAAAGCACCGGCUAACUACGUGCCAGCAGCCGCGGUAAUACGUAGGGUGCGAGCGUUAAUCGGAAUUACUGGGCGUAAAGGGUGCGCAGGCGGUCUUGCAAGUCAGAUGUGAAAGCCCCGGGCUUAACCUGGGAAUUGCGUUUGAAACUACAAGGCUAGAGUGCAGCAGAGGGGAGUGGAAUUCCAUGUGUAGCAGUGAAAUGCGUAGAGAUGUGGAAGAACACCGAUGGCGAAGGCAGCUCCCUGGGUUGACACUGACGCUCAUGCACGAAAGCGUGGGGAGCAAACA